AUACGUAGGGGGCGAGCGUUGUCCGGAAUUAUUGGGCGUAAAGGGUACGUAGGCGGUUUUUUAAGUCUGGUGUGAAAUUGGUGGGCUCAACCCACCCAAGCAUUGGAAACUGGAAAACUUGAGUCAUGGAGAGGAAAGUGGAAUUCCUAGUGUAGCGGUGAAAUGCGUAGAUAUUAGGAGGAAUACCGGUGGCGAAGGCGACUUUCUGGACAUGUACUGACGCUGAGGUACGAAAGCGUGGGGAGCAAACAGGAUUAGAUACCCUGGUAGUCCACGCUGUAAACGAUGAAUACUAGGUGUGGGGGGACUGACCCCCUCCGUGCCGCAGUUAACACAAUAAGUAUUCCACCUGGGGAGUACGAUCGCAAGAUUGAAACUCAAAUGAAUUGACGGG
rnacentral:rRNA from 1 species